rnacentral:rRNA from 1 species
CGCGACGGAGCACCCGGAGACGGCGUUUCCACCACGUAGAGCGCAAGCUUAACCGCCCUCGCCACAAGCCCAAGCCCCCGCUAGGGCAUUAUUCGGCGUCUGCGGCUCCCGAAAGUCGAAGUCAGUCGGUCUGCGAGUUCCCGAGUGCGACAAGUGAGCGAGGGGACGGGACACUGACACUCACGCUCCGGCGGACGUCAUGCAAAGAUUUGAGACGGGUGUGUAGCCAACGGGUCACCUCUCUCUCCGACACCGACGCCGAACGAGGACGCGGCUAGCUCGUUGGCGAAGUGGGGAGGGCUAGAAUCGUCAAGCUCAACUUGUUCUCCGCCCUCUAUAUCUCACUUCCUCCGUCCUGAUUAAAGCAACCAAGUGGAAGGUCAGUAGACAGCAAGUCUUCGCUUCCCACACCUAUAUCACUGGUAGUCGUCAGGUCGUACUGCUUCUUUGUGUUUUUAUCUUUCAGGUUUUUAUAUAACCUCUUGUUUUUCCCACAACUACUCUUACACCUCGUGUAAAACGCUUACUAUCCUCUCCUCUCACUCGACCGACUUUCGCUUGGUCUACUAAGACCUUUAUGGAACUUCUUUAGUUUUGAUAGGAGGGAACAUUUCCCGAAGGUACUUCUGAUGGUUAUGGAAGUGUUCGUGACGUUUCUAGAUUAGUCAUUUGACCUUUUACAACCCGUGUCAAGGUGACCAAGUCUAAGUAGGCUAAGUCUGAGCCUUCCUCUGUCUAGCCUGUGACUGCAAGGAUUAGUCUUUGAUCUACGUAAUUUACUUCUUUUACUGACCUACGUCUUCGAACGACCUCUUGUAGUUCCACUUCUCGUUUCAUGCCUUCGUCCCUAAGUCUUCGACUUUGUUUUACGUCUUCUUUUUUGCUUUCUUUAUAGACUAGACUACUUCGAUAAUCUUUUUCGUUAUUACCUGUUUCUUCGAUGAUCAAGUCUACAACGUUUGAACAGUAGUCUCUUGCUUGUAGAUUUUAACAACCAACUUCCACGUCUCUUCCUCCGUCGUCUUAGGGACUUCUGUAGUUGUCUGUACCUCUUACUCUACUCCUACAAUAGACCGCUCUUCGUUUAACACCUUUUUCUCUCCCUACUGGACUUCUAAAAUUAAUAUCUGGACCUCUUGUUCUCCCUUCUAUACUCGUUAGUCGACGUUCUAUGUCACCUCUUUACGUUAAGGAACAGUAGGGUUGAACUCUUCCGGGUGAAUCGACUCUUUCUUCACGUCUGGAACAAUAGUCUUGAGGUUUUUAGGUUCUUACUCUUGAACUACGACAGUCACCUUACACUAUUGGACUUUCGUUUACUCUUCUUACACCUAUAGUUCAAAAGGCUUGACUUCCUUUGAGAACGACUUUGUUCUCGAUUUUUACUGAGGAACUAACGUCUCUUGUCAAAUGAGCUUUCGUUCGAAGUUGUAAAUCCCCACCUCUAUCUACCAUACUGUCACCUCUUUCUCCUCGAUUACUUGUUAGACUUGUUCCUUGCACCUCGACGUCUUCUUCUUUUUAAUUCUCAUCAUAGUCUUGUAAGGUUCACAAACUUACUCAACCUCGUCCGUGUUACAUCGUAGUUCCUUGAUCUUUUCCUUUACCUUAGUUGUUUUGAACGUGACUCACUAUUAUAACGUCUCGAUGACUUUCUUUUCUUAAGGCACCGUAGUCUCGAUUUCGUCAAUCUUCGAAGAAACUUCUUAGAACUUGUGCUCAAGCUUGUUGUUGAUUUCGUUUAAAGACAAUACGUCUUCCUAUUACUUCUGGACCGCAACCACUUAAGUUUGGACGUAUUACUCGAACGUCGUCACGAGCCUCUUUUCUUACUUCGACAACGAAGAUCAUAACUAGAACUUUUAUUCAAAGUUGUCGUUUUGGUUGUUUAAAGUUCAGAAGUCCUCUGGUAACUUCCGGAGUCUCGCCGUUUCCGACUUUACAGAUUACUCCAAUAUCAUGUGCUCCUCCGCUUUUUACGUCGUCAACGAGUCAAUCUAGUCAGCCUCCGAAUGCAGUUCUUGGAGGUCUCGCUCUAUCUUGAUUUCGUCUUACUUUAAAGUGAAAAGGUCGUUCGAUUACUUCUUGACGUCCUCUUUUUAAGAUCGAACCCAUCCGUCGACCUUCUUCAAUUCUGACUAGAUGUCCGACUCUAGUAAGAUAAUGUUCCUCUUUUCGUUGUUUAGUAACUACUAAACGUCGUCAGUUUGUGAAGUCAGUUCUGAGAGCUUGCACUCAAUCUCGUCGUUUCUCUUGUUUUGAUAUAAGAUGUCGAUCGGUUACUUCUAGACGUCUUCUUAUUGACAUUGGACUUCUUUGUUAAACUUCUACGGUACCAAUCGGCGGUGCGACUUUAAUAUCAUGAGGUUCUGCUCUUCUCUUUUUGGGAAAGCCUCAACGUCGUCAGACUCCGAAGGUAGUUCUUAGAUUCUUGACUCAGUCUAGUUCCUGCUCUCGUUUAAAGCUAGAACGUAGAUCAAUUACUUCUUUACUUCUUAUCUUUACGAUCGAACUUGUUCGUUAACCUCCUUAAUUCCUCGUCGAACAGACUCCUCUAACAUCGUGAUUCACUCGUCUUCCUUUGUCGGGACAGUCUCAAUGUGGUCAGAGUACGAAGUUAACCCUUGAACCUCUAUCUCAAUCUUUUCGCUUUACGCUCACAAAGUCAAAAUGUCGUUCGGUUACUACUAGAUGUCUUCGUGUAGAGACGGGACUGGCUUCUUAAGUUGCUUCACUUCCGACUCAACGUCUUCCUCUAAUUUCACUGUGUUCUUCUCUUCCUAUGCCAAAAUUGGGUUGAUUUCGUUCGUCUCAAAAGAUAGUUCUUGGAACUUAGGCUCUAUCGAGUCAAUUUCCUACUAGAAAGUUAAGUCGAUCUUUUGUUAAGGUCGAACUUGUUUGUUAAACUCCUUAGUUCCUGGUUAGACGUCCCCCUAUAAGAUCGUGAAGCACUUCUUUUUCUUUGUCAAGACAGUCUCAAUGUAGUCAGACUUCGAAGACACUCCUUGAAACUCUCUCUCGAUCUUUUCGUUUCAGUCUCGUAAAGUCGAGACGUCGUACGUUUACUACUUAGUCUUGUCUUGUUUACACGGAACUGGGUCUUUAAUCUUCUUCAGUUCCGACUCAGUGUCUCCUUCUAACUCCACCGUGUUCUUCUCUUCCUAUGUAAUCAUUGGGUUGAUUUUGUCAGUCUCAGAAGAUAGUUCUUAGAACUUUCACUUUAUCGUGUCGACUUCCUCCUUGAAAGUCAAGUCGACCUUUCGUUAAGGUCGAACCUCGUUGUCAAGCUUCUCCGUUAUGAUUUUCAAAGAUUGAAUGUACUCUUUGAGCUCUCUCAAGUCCGACUCCGCCGUACAGUUCAAUAACUUUACUUGUCAUUACGCUUUCUAAACCUCUUCUAUUAUCUAUAUAACAGUAGAGUCUUCCGGUUCCACCUCCCUCUAGACUUUCUAUACCAAUUUUAUACGUACCUUUUAAACAGCAGGUACUUACUAAAACUUCUAUCUCAAUGUGUCUUUCAAAGUCUAGUACGAUGGUUUGAACGACUAGAGGUCGUCUCGGAGUUUCUAUAGCCACCGUUGAAAGUCUCUGAGGUAGUAUGUAUACGACUGCACAGGUGUUUCCGUAGAGUCGAGCUCCAUGAGUUCUUUUUAGUAUAACUCGUCUAUCUGGUUGAUCUUCUCUUUUUACGUCUUUAAAACCUGUUUGUAGCGGUGAACCUUCUCCUUUACAAAACACGUUUAUUCCUAUUGUGUCUCGACGUUUUCGUACAGGUUCUUGAACUUAAACUCGAGGUCGAUCGGUUCGUCUUCGAACUUGAACGGCUUCGCCUCUCGUUUACGUUUCUUCUCUCGGUACACUACCGUCACCUUUGUAGUUUUUGUCUCUAGCACGUAGAACUUCUUGUUUAUGUUGACAAGAGACCUUCCUAAUCGAACGACCUUCUUUGAAAACACGUUUAAUUUCUGUCGUGGCUCAGUCACCAGAGAUUUAACCUUUUAGUUAACCUACUCGAACUUAAUGUGAGGUCAGUUUCGUAAUGCACGAAGUAAUUGGCGAAUAGACGUACACCACCUCUCAAAUCACAGGAUGUCUUGUACCAUGUGUUAAGAGAACGACUCGUCUUUCUUGACGAGUUCCUUUUGCUUCUUGACCGAUAACCCAACUCUUUCUUUCUUUUCCUUUACAGUCUUUACUAAUCCUCACGAUGACUCCGUCGACUCUUCUACCAAGUUGAACUCUUCUAUUAACUUCUUUUUCUGCUACUUGAUCGUCGAUCUCACGUCCUCUUUUCUCUUCGAUAGUUCGUCGACUCACUGUGUUAACUAAUGGUGUUCUUGUUGUCGCUACUAGACCAGGCGAUAUAAGCGUCAGUGUUGGCAGGGGCGGAAGGUAAAACAGACAUUUAAACUAGUGGUUUUCAAGUAACAGUCAGUUAUAUAUUCGACGUAAAAUAGACACUUGUAGUAAUCUGUUAAUAAAGGUUAAGGAAAUUACAUAGUAUUUAUCACGGGUUUAUGUUUGUUACACCUCCAUCAGUUUAUCCACCACCGGACACAUAGGAUAACAGUAACCCUCUCGAUCUUUGUGAAAGACAAGGAACAUCAAAUAAUAGUAGGAUAACUUUACGGUUAUCUCCGACUUCUACGUUGUUCACACUCAAACCACCAGACUUAAGUACAAGGUUAGUCCAUUACACCGAAACCACUAAGAGAACAAGAGAAAAAGGUAAAUUCUGUAUAAAGUUGUAA